CACCCUCUCCUCUGUUUCCUCUGCAGGAAACAGAGGUAUCACAACCUCUUCUCCUGCUUCCUCUGCUUCUUCUCUUCCUCUUCUUCUACUUCUCCUCUUCAAACGCCCCACACCUCUCCCCUGUUUCCACCUACGGAAACAGAGGUGCUGCUGCCACCUCUCGCUCCUCUCCCUCUUCCCUCUCUUUUCCCUCUUCUCCCUCUUCCUUCUCCUUCCUUUCUUCUUCUUCUCUUCUUCCUCACCUUCUCUUCCUCUCCUUCUCUUCCAGCUGCAGCUGCCACCGCCGUAGCCGCAGCCGCAGCUCUUCCUUUCCCUUCUCUUCUUCUCCUCUUCGUCUUCCCUCCUCCUCCCCGACGUCACACACACCCUUUCCUCUGUUUCCUUUGCAGGAAAAAGAGAUAUCACAACCUCUUCUUCUUCUCUUCCUCUUCUUCUUCUCCUCUGUUUCCACCUGUAGGAAACAGAGGUGCUGCAACCCUAGCUGCUGCCACCUCUCGCUCCUCUCCCUCUUCCCUCUCUUUUCCCUCUUCUUCUCCUUCUCUUCUUCUCCUCUUCCCUUUUCCUUCCCAAUGCCACACACCUCCUCGCUGCAACCUUGCUGCAGCUAUCCUCCUCUCUUCUUU
rnacentral:lncRNA from 1 species